UUACACAUGCAAGUCGAACGGCAGCACGGGGGCAACCCUGGUGGCGAGUGGCGAACGGGUGAGUAAUAUAUCGGAACGUACCCAGUAGUGGGGGAUAGCUCGGCGAAAGCCGGAUUAAUACCGCAUACGCACUGAGGUGGAAAGCGGGGGAUCGCAAGACCUCGCGCUAGUGGAGCGGCCGAUAUCUGAUUAGCUAGUUGGUGGGGUAAAAGCCUACCAAGGCGACGAUCAGUAGCUGGUCUGAGAGGACGACCAGCCACACUGGAACUGAGACACGGUCCAGACUCCUACGGGAGGCAGCAGUGGGGAAUUUUGGACAAUGGGGGCAACCCUGAUCCAGCAAUGCCGCGUGAGUGAAGAAGGCCUUCGGGUUGUAAAGCUCUUUUGUCUGGGAAGAAAUCCCCUGGGAUAAUACCUCGGGGGGAUGACGGUACCGGAAGAAUAAGCACCGGCUAACUACGUGCCAGCAGCCGCGGUAAUACGUAGGGUGCAAGCGUUAAUCGGAAUUACUGGGCGUAAAGCGUGCGCAGGCGGUUGUGCAAGACAGAUGUGAAAUCCCCGGGCUUAACCUGGGAACUGCAUUUGUGACUGCACGGCUAGAGUGUGUCAGAGGGGGGUAGAAUUCCACGUGUAGCAGUGAAAUGCGUAGAGAUGUGGAGGAAUACCGAUGGCGAAGGCAGCCCCCUGGGAUAACACUGACGCUCAUGCACGAAAGCGUGGGGAGCAAACAGGAUUAGAUACCCUGGUAGUCCACGCCCUAAACGAUGUCUACUAGUUGUCGGGUCUUAAUUGACUUGGUAACGCAGCUAACGCGUGAAGUAGACCGCCUGGGGAGUACGGUCGCAAGAUUAAAACUCAAAGGAAUUGACGGGGACCCGCACAAGCGGUGGAUGAUGUGGAUUAAUUCGAUGCAACGCGAAAAACCUUACCUACCCUUGACA
rnacentral:rRNA from 1 species